UGGCCGCCCCACAUCUAUAGUCGGAGUUAUUGACUGUUAUAAGUCGCCAUGUCGCCGCUGGGAAAUGAACCCAGACCUUGUGCAAGAGAGCACUGCUAAGCCAUCUUUCCAGCCCUUGACCUUCUUUUUUCCUUCGAGACAAUAUCCUCAUGCUCAGCUGGCGUCUUCCUUCAGAAAACACUCCUUUCACAUCACUUCAAAAGAGCCACUAAAGAUGGUUGGUCACAGCGCAGAAGGGGUCCUUAGGGUCCGUUGACAAUGGAGAGGCUAGACAGUGUCUCUUCCUCACGUGCAAAGUGACAGGAAAGAACUGGGUCUCAUCUUGCACGCUCCGCCCACACUCCUGUUCCAGAGGGUUCUCUGCUUCUUGUCACCGAGCCCGGAAUUCCCGACUCUGCCUCUCAAGUGCCGGGAUCACAAGCAUGCGUCAUCACGUCCAGCACGUGGAGCACUGGGGACCCCACUCAGCGCUUCCAAAAGACUCAGGAACUGUCUGCAGAUCUUGAGCUCCGGAAUGCCACCCCCUUCAGCCACUGCGGAGUAGUCUUGGCUCCAGUCCCAAGUCCCACCGGGCCAAGCAACUGGGCUCCUUGCCAGCGCUCCUGCCCCAUCCCAUCCUACCUUCUUCCUGCCAGCUGCCAGAGAUAUCAUCAAUAAAUUGUUUGAAAUGUUCAA